UCCCAAGUGGUCUAGUGGUUAGGUUCGUGGUUUUUACCCACGCGGGCCCGGGUUCGAUUCCCGGCUUGGGAA
rnacentral:tRNA from 1 species